AAAUAUAUGGGUCAUGUAACUAUAAAACAUUUCCAAAUCAUGAACAAGUUUUAUUUAAAUAGUAUUAAAUAUGCAAUCUUAUUUGAACUAUUUUCAUUAAAUCUACUUCAUUUACUAGCCAUGCACUUGAUAGGCUACCCACAUGUACGCAUUCGUACCUAUUUUUACCGUCCAGCCUACGUGAUGCAAACCUCGACUGAAAUAAAUCAUACAAAGCUGUUUCUCGAUGUUUGCUACCAAUAUUUUUCGCUACAGUAAGCAAAUAUGGGGUAAGGUUGAUUGGUCGGUGUAUCUUCAAGUGUUGUCGAUUUCUGGUCUCGGUGUAUCCACCUGCCUACCUUAUAAGCUAUGUACUAGGCAGUUGUUUGGUUUUUUUGGUGUUUGUUUGAGUUAGUCCUUAGUUGUUUCGUACCAUUGUAGCCGCUUUUAAACAUGCUGACGGUAAGAAGAUUGACGGCAGGCGUAUAGUAGUUGAUGUGGAAAGAGGAAGAACAGUGAAGAACUGGAAACCUCGACGUUUAGGUGGAGGGCUAGGUGGCACACGAAAUGGUGCUCCUGAAGCAAACAUAAAGCAUUCUGGCCGCGUCGAAAAUUUUGACAGGGAUCGCGAUUGAGAUGAACGUGAUCGUGGUGGUGAAUAUCGUGACCGUUCAAGGCGUGAUCGUGAACGAGACCGUUGCCGUGAUAGAGAUCGCGAUAGACAUGAUCGUCGCCGAGAAAGGGAUCGUAAGUUACAUUUUUCUAAGCUGCUGUUGGAGAAGGAUAGAAAAUAACUUAUCAGAAUUCGAAGGAGAAAUUUCAUUGAUAGCCAAAUUUCCUCUUCAAUG